ensembl:lncRNA
AAGACUUUCUGUGGAACUCAAGAAAAACUAAAUACUUUUAGUUUAAAAUAUAGCAGGUGUGGUACAAUCCCAUUUUUGAAAAUGAUUUGGACCUUUUGACCUUUCUGUCUCCCUUUGCCUCUUUCUCUCCAAGGGCCUCUGUGUGCAGAGGCCAUUCACCAAAUGUUACCACUCGCCGGUAGGCUGCAUUAAGCGUCUUCGCCUCUGUACCAGAAGUUCUUUGCACACAUCUAGCGGCAUUCUUCUGAACAGCCGGAGUGCAGAACCACUUCAUUUUAAGCUGUGUGAGUCAUUGACACUUUAGUGUAAAUAAGGUUUUCAGGAAGACAGUGUGAAGACCUGGAGUUUCUGCAGGUCCCGACCUGGGCAGCUGAAUCCUGGGAAGAGCUGAAGAGGGCAGCUGGUCCCGAGGUCCUCAGCCCCUCUUGGCUGAAAGAACCGUUGAGCUUGUCAAGCAAGCCCCUCUUCCCACAGGUCCCUGUCCUGGAAUUCUAAGCCUGUGAGACAGAUGCCUAUUCUAGCUGGUACUGGACCCAGAAGCUGGGGGCCUGGCCCAGCCUUGAUAAGUGUCUGGGACAGGGUUCUCCUCCCUGCAGCAUUGUGGGGGCUCCUGAGCUCCAUCUGACCCACUGCCCUCAUAUCCAAUGCCCACCUCUUGAUCAGAACCCUGACUCCUGCCCUCCUCCAUUUGCACCCUUGCUCUAGCCACAUUGGCCUAACUUCCCCUUUCCCACACCACGGGGCCUUUGCACAUGCUUUAUCCUCCACGAGAAUCCCUUCCCACCCACCUUCCCUCACCCCCAGAUCCCCAGGCUCCUCCUCUGGAAGCCGUCCCUGACAUACCUCCCAACCCCAGAGGUCAGGCCUCUGCCCCCACUGUGAGCCCCCCAUGGGCCAGCCUGGCUCUGCUCAUCCCUGUGGCCCAGUGCCCAGCCAGGGCCUGGCGUUGGGGAGGCAGAAAGGCAAGUGGAUGACUGGGCCUUGACCUCAUCACCAGCUGGUGACCUCAGCCAGAUCCCUUGUUCUCACUGACUGUUUCCUCAUCUGAAAAAUAGAGACAGGGGAAGUCCUCCUCAUGGAGGCCUCAAGAGGAAUAAAGAAGAUAAUGCGUAUUUUUAUUUUAAGGUUUGUUAAACGCAUGACUAUGAGAUGUGAGCUUAAAGGAGGAGGGAGGAAGUGAAAGGAGGAACCAGCCCCGCCUCCAGUCUGCACCCCCUGGUUCCCACCGGGUAGCACCUCCAUCCCACCCACCGUCGCUGAACACCUACCCUGUGUCCCAGGUGCCAGGGGAUGCUGUGAGACUCCCACAACCACCCUGAGGCCGGAUGAGGAAGAGGAGGCAGAGGAAGGCAGAACGCCUAGGAGAUCCUCUCCGCUUGACCGCCACUAGGCAUCCCACGUCAGCCCACUUCUCUGCCACCUCCCGGGGCCAAGCUGCUCACCUCUUGCUUGCACAGAGCAGCGGCCACCAACUGGACUCCCGACCCUUUGACCUUGGCCUCUAAAAUCCAUUCUCCGACUCAUCAGAGUGACCUUGUCCCAGCAUCGUUCUGACUACACCAUUUCCUGUCUCCAAUCCUCCAUUGGGUCCUACCAAACGGCGAUACAGAUAAGCUCCAAGAAGAAAAACGACUUGCCACGUUGGCGACCAAGCUGAGAUGGUCACUGGGCCUGACCUGCAAUUCUGCGCCCUUUCUAUUGUCCCCUGUGCUCUGUUGCAUGCUCCCUGCCCAAUGGCCCCUCCUCACAAAGGCCUGGACUGGUGCAGCAGCCUCCUCGUCAGCCUCCUGGCCUCUCGUCCUCCACUCUGCCCACGACCUGAGAGACUUCUUAGGCAGACCUGUCGUCACGCAGCUCCCCGACUCAAAAGCAUCCCGCAGCUCCCCACAGCGCCCGAGUCUAAGUCCAGCCUCAUAGUGGGCUCCCAUUUGAGGGAUAAAACAGGUACUGGCCUCACAGAUUCUGUGGGCCAAGAAUUUGGACAGGGCGCAGAGGGGACGGCUUGUGUCUGCUUCACCACAUCUGGGGCCUCAGCUGGAAGACUCGCAAGCUAGGGGCUGGAAUCUUGAAGGCCCCUUUGCUCACAUCCCUUCACUCUUGUAGAUUCCCAAAAGAGAGGAGAAUUUAGAAGACUCCUGGAAUUCAUGGCCGCUGAAGCACAUCCUCCUGAAUUUAAGUUACAUAAGGAAAUCGACGACUGAAUGUGGUCAAAAGGAUAUUCUCAAAAGUUAUUGUUGACAACAAAGAUUUAUCCAGAGACACAGCUGAUCUGGUUCUCUGAAUAGGAUGGUUGAUGCUGGUGGAUUGAUCAGCAGAGAUCUUAGCUGGGCAUUGGCUGGAACAUCUCCAUGUGGCCCUGCCCUGUGUCCUGGGCUUCCUCACAGCGUGGUGGAUGGGUUCAGAGUCAAGAGGGAGGCCGAAGCCUUAUACCUUUUAUGACCGAGUCUUGAAGCCCCACAGCAUCACUUCUACCACAUUUUACUCAUCAAGGCAGCCGCUCACCUUCAAGGAGAGAGGAAAUGGACCCCACCUGCUGUGGGGGAGCAGCAAAGUUUUAGAAGACCAUGCGGGACUGGAAAUUUUCUGUGGCCACUUUUAAACAGAUAGACAUAGGAAAACAUUAGUAUUCAGAGCUGGGAUGAGUCGGGGAGGCAUCACGCAGGCCCUGAAGGGGAGCCUGUCAGGCCGUGGGCAGAGCAGAGGGGAGGCAGGGAGGCCAGUGAGGAGGCAACCGCACUAGUCCGGGUCUUUGUGAGGAGGGGCCAUCGGGCAGGGAGCAUGCAACAGAGGAGAAGAGACAAUAGAAAGGGCACAGAAUUGCAGGUGAGGCUCAGUGAUCGUCUCAGCAUGGUCACCAACGUGGUAAGUCGUUUUCCUCCUUGGAGCUUCUCUGUGUCACCUGUAAAAUGAGUCACACACACAAACGGAAGAGGUUUCUUAUUCACAGUGUGGACCCUUUGAGAAACUGGUGAAAGGAAUGAAUCCUCCACGCAGGGGAAGGAAGACGAACUCGGGCACAUCUGUAAAACCGGGCUGAAAGUUCCGGGGGUGCCCAGGACCAGCCUGGCUUGGUGGUGAAGGUUGGGGCUCUGGACCCGGAAUGUCUGGGUGUGAAUCCUGCCUCCACUCCUUACCAGGGAAGAGACCUUGGGUGAGGGACUCAACCUGUCCGUGCCUCUGUUUCCCCACCUGUAGCAGUUAGGGCUGCAUUUGGCUGCAGGUAACUGAGGACCUCAAUAUUCAGUGCCUUCGGCAAAAUGGCAGCUCGGUUUCUUUCUUGUGGAAAAGCCCAUAUGUGUGUGGUUGCUGAUGCUGGUUCAGGAGCUGGGUCCCUUCUCUUAGAAAAACCUCUUCACCCGGAGGACCUCCCUUAAUCUCAUUGCCCACAGUGGAGUCAUGGGACUAGCCCCCUGCGGGCAAGGAUGAGGAAUGGAGCUGUAGCUCAGUGGUUCUUAACCAGAGCCAGCAUCGCAGCUCCACGGGACACUUGGAGAUGUGCGAGGACAUUUCAGGACAUCACAAUGAUGGGGCAUGCAGUGGGAGGGGGCCACUCCAGUGCACGCAACAGUUUUCCAUGGAGAAUUGUCCCCCAAAAAAGGCCAAGCGUGUCCUCCAUUGAAAAACUCCUGGGGCUGGCCCCGUGGCCGAGUGCUUAAGUUCGCGCGCUCCGCUGCAGGCGGCCCAGUGUUUCGUCGGUUCGAAUCCUGGGCGCGGACAUGGCACUGCUCGUCAGACCACGCUGAGGCAGCGUCCCACAUGCCACAACUAGAGGAACGCACAACAAAG